CCACGCUGACAGCGCCGGGUCUCGGAAGUCAAGCAGGGUCGGGCCUGGUUAGUACUUGAAUGGGAGACUCUCUGGGAAUACCGGGU
rnacentral:rRNA from 1 species